CAAAAACAUUGCUUUCUGACCAACCUAUAAAAAGUACCUCCUGCCCAGUGAAACUUUCAACGGCCGCGGUAUCCUAACCGUGCAAAGGUAGCAUAAUCACUUGCCCAUUAAUUGUGGGCUAGAAUGAAAGGAUAAACGAAAUUUAGACUGUCUCAAUUAGAUACUUAAAAAUUAAUCUCUGGUUGAAGAAGACCAGAUAAAGUUGAAGGACAAGAAGACCCUACAGAGCUUUAUUUAACGGGGGUAAACCCCAAAAAAAAUUUGGUUGGGGCGACCAAGGAUAUAACGAUCAUCCUCUAUACAAAGACUAACAAAUCAAGAAAAAGACCCUUAAUUAAGAUCACAGAAACAAGCUACCUUAGGGAUAACAGGCUAAUCUCACUAAAGAGCCCUUAUCAAUAGUGUGGGUUGGCACCUCGAUGUUGGCUUAGGAUAUCUGUAUAGUGCAAGAGCUAUAUAAAGAUGGUUUGUUCAACCAUUAAACUUCUACGUGAUCU
rnacentral:rRNA from 1 species